rnacentral:misc_RNA from 1 species
GGAAGGAUCAUUCCAAACUAAAACCGCAAACAUACCUUUGAAAAAAGUGAUGUUUUGCACCUCAAUCUACACGCUCAUAUUUUUCUACUCUACAUUUUCCCUUUUUCAGAUGUACUUCUGAAGACCUUUAUUUGACCCAAAAGCCUAAAAUUUUAGGAUCAUGACGGUGGAUACAUUGGUUUCUGGAACGAUGAAGAACGUAGCGAAACGCGAUAUUUAAUGCGAAUUGCAGAAUUCAGUGAAUCAUCAAGUUUUCGAACGCAGCUUGCAAUCAUUGGUUAUUCCUUUGAUUGUGCUUUCUUGACAUGCACGCUCAAUCAAAACUGUAGAUUUCUUGUCUUCUGGAUGAGAAGUCACACAGUGUCUGAAUCUUGAUGAACUAGGUUGUUCAGACCUAGUCUUCAAAAGACAGCGAGCUCGUUGCUUCAUUGAUUUGGGAUGCUGGAAUAUGCUCUCUCAGUUGCAGAUUGUUCAAACUUUUUGCAAAAGUGAGUUGAUUUCGUAUCCUUGAGUCGGUGGUGUCGCUAGAGCUAAAGUGCACAUUGUGUGCUCAAAUGACAAACAAUUGUUGUGUCAAGCAAAGCACGGAGACCCCCUGAAUUUAAGCAUAUAACUAAGGGGAGGAAAGCAAACUAAAAAGGAUUCUCAUAGUAACUGCGAGUGAACUGAGAAAAGCUCAAGUCUGUAAUCCUCUUGGUUCAUCCAAGAAGACAUGUGGCUUGUGGAGACAUGUCCAGAGUGUGGCCCAGGUCUAAGUUCACUGAAAAGUGAUGCGAAGCAGGGUGAUAGCCCCGUUCACGGCUUGGAGUUCGCCUCGUACGGACUGUUUUCUGAGAGUCGGAUUGCUUGGGAGUGCAAUCUCAAUGGGAGGUAAAUUCCUUCCAAGGCUAAAUAUUUCCAGAAAACCGAUAGCACACAAGUACCGCGAGGGAAAUGUGAAAAGCACUUUGAAAAGAGAGUUAAAAGUAUUUGAAACCGCCAUGGUUAAGCAAUGGGAUUUGUUGGUUCACGUGGUAUGUUAUGCUGGCACGAAUGUGCAUAAGGAUUGCAUCGAAUUGUGGUCUUCGGGUCUGUCAUGCGGUCCUUGGUGGCAGACGUGUCGUGUGUAACAUGCCAUGAGUACGGGCAUUGAAAUCCCGAAUGCGAAAUGAAAGUGUAGGUGAGGAUUCAUCUUUACUGUGAUGUUCAUCCGUGCAUGUUGCGGAGUCAGCAUCGCCCGGCUUCUUCCUUUGUGAGAGGUUCGAGCUAGAGCACAGUCGAUACGACCCGAAAGAUGGUGAGCUAUACCUGCGCAGGGUGAAGCCAGGGGAAACUCUGGUGGAAGCUCGUAGCGGUACUGACGUGCAAAUCGUUCGUCUGACGUGGGUAUAGGGGCGAAAGACCUAUCGAACCAUCUAGUAGCUGGUUCCCUC